UACAAUGCGGAAAAAAAUACU
rnacentral:piRNA from 1 species